GCCUACGAUCCAAUCUCGGAGCAUUCCCAGGCGACCGAGCCGGCGGCGACGGCGGCGGCGGCGGCGUCGGUGUCGUCUUGCCCCCAGACGCCCAACACCUCGACUGCUCCAGGGCGCGUCGUCCUCAACGACGGCGCCUUUGCACUUCUUCUCCACCUUCCUCCUCCAGAGAGCAAAGGAGCCUUGAGGUGGUGAUUCAAAUUGUGGUGCAAAUUACACGUGGAGUUGAAGCAUAUGUAUGGAGUAGCCAUGGGCUAGCUAGCUAAGCUGCUUACC
rnacentral:lncRNA from 1 species